GAUGGCUCAUAUCAAGCGGUUUGAGAAAAUCCCCAUGUCUAAGGUACGUUGCACAAAACGGGACCGAAUCAGGACCAGGGCAGCGCUUGACAACGUGCGCUCUUGUUUUUCCGCUCUUGAGAUUAAAAGCGGGGCUCCGGCCUCCCACGACACCCUGCAGGAACGUCGAGUCAUUCGCACCGCAGCAGCCAAACGGGAAGCGCUUCUUUGGAAUUCGCAUGGUACCCGCGGCAGUUAUUGAGGAGGAGAAAGACAGGAUGCGGACGAUGAGCCGUCUGGGGAAGGCAAUGAGAGGUAUUUGCAAAGAGGAGGACUACGCCUUCUUGAGCAACGCAGACCACUCUGGGAAACAGCCGGAGGACAAGCGUGUGGAGGACGACCGGAGGCAGAAGCACCAAGAAAGGGUCCAGCGCAGGCAGGAGUGGGAGAAGAGGGAGCAGGACAGACUGAAGGAGCUGGAGGAGCUGAGAAAGGAGAAGGAGCAGCAGUGGAAGGACCACGUCGCAAUGCUGGCUGCAGAGCGGGAGGCCACCAUGAAGGAAAGGGCGGUCCGGCUUCGAGACUUCAGGAACUUCCAGAGGAAGGUUUUAGAAGAAGAGAUGGGAGGAGACCCAAGGAUGGGGCGUGGGAAAAUUGACGAACUCCUGCUUAGAAUGUAAUGCCAGUCAGGGAAGGGGUGAGGUUCCCCGUCAACACCUGGCUGAAAACCUAACGUACACAGAAGCAGCGUAGCUGUACCCUAAGGCAAAAUUUCACUACCUUCUGUUUGUUUUUUCAUAUUGCUUUUCAGAUGGGCUGUGGAUGCAAAAAAAUUCUUUUUCCCCCCACUUGAUAGUAAUUUAAGAAUCAAGCGUACAUUCUUCUGACCAUGCAACAUGCUCACCCUCCAAAGCAUCGGCAUUUUAAUUGCUUAUUUCACCACGGCAACAGAAAGCUAUCACCCUCCCCUUUGUGAACCAUUUACAACUAGGUGGAAGACACACACACACACACACACACACACACACACACACACACACACACACACACACACAGAGAGGCUGAAACCGCUUAUCCCAUGUGGGGUUGCGGCGAGCCGGAGCCUAACCCAGCAACACAGGGCACAAGCCCAGAGGGGGAGGGGACACACCCAGGACGGGACGCCAGUCCGUCGCAAGGCACCCCAAGCGGGACUCGAACCCCAGACCCACCAAAGAGCAGGACCUGGCUCAACCUACUGCACCCCCCCCAGCCGGAAGAACAAAAAGGGAAACCUUCACAUUAAAACUCCUUAACGGAAAACCCUUUCAGUCCACAGAGGUUGGGAUCUGCCUGUCUUUGUAAAACAGGUGUCUUCUGAAAUGCAGCUCUGCCAUUUCACACAAGCAGAGCAAAGAGAAAAUCCUGUCCCAGCGUGUCCCGGCCCUCCGGGAAGGAAAAUACCACAGCACACCAUGGGACUCCCGUACUUCUGUUUACCAACAUGCCACAAGGCAGAGCCUCAACUCCAUGCCCUUUCCACACUGAAGCCUGGAACCAUUAUGUGUCAGUCACACACCUCCUAGAGUUAACUUUAUCUUUUAAAAUCUACCUGUAACAUAAAAUGUACUGACGAAAAGACAGGCCCAGUAGAAAAAAAAGAAACUGGAGAAACAAGACUAUUCUUCCAAAGUCUUCUGC
rnacentral:lncRNA from 1 species